UACGUAAGGUGCAGGCGUUAAUCGGAAUUACUGGGCGUAAAGCGUGCGCAGGCGGUUUGCUAAGACAGGUGUGAAAAUCCUCGGGCUUAACCUGGGAAUGGCAUUUGGGACUGCAAGGCUCGAGUGCGGCAGAGGAGACUGGAAUUCCUGGUGUAGCAGUGAAAAUGCGUAGAGAUCGGGCGGGAACACCAGCGGCGAAAGGCGGCAUCCUGGACUGGUCCUGACACUCAGGAGCGAAAGCGUGGGGGAGCGAUCCGG
rnacentral:rRNA from 1 species